UGGGGAAUAUUGCACAAUGGAGGGAACUCUGAUGCAGCGACGCCGCGUGAACGAAGAAGGCUUUCGAGUCGUAAAGUUCCUUUAUAUGGGAAGAUAAUGACGGUACCAUAAGAAAAAGCCCCGGCUAACUACGUGCCAGCAGCCGCGGUAAUACGUAGGGGGCUAGCGUUGUCCGGAAUCACUGGGCGUAAAGGGUUCGCAGGCGGAAAUGCAAGUCAGGUGUAAAAGGCAGUAGCUUAACUACUGUAAGCAUUUGAAACUGCAUAUCUUGAGAAGAGUAGAGGUAAGUGGAAUUUUUAGUGUAGCGGUGAAAUGCGUAGAUAUUAAAAAGAAUACCGGUGGCGAAGGCGACUUACUGGGCUCAUUCUGACGCUGAGGAACGAAAGCGUGGGUAGCAAACAGG
rnacentral:rRNA from 2 species